rnacentral:sRNA from 1 species
GGGAUUACAGGUGCAUGCCACCACACCUGGCUAAUUCUUUGUAUUUUUAGUAGAGACGGGGUUUUGCCGUGUUGGGCAGGCUGGUCUCGAACUCCUGACCUCAGGUGAUCCACACUCCUCGGCCUCCCAAAGUGCUGGGAUUACAGAGCUGUUCACUGAGUGUUACAGCAGCGAUGAAGACUUGGCAGAACAGCUGCUGAUCUAUUCCUGUGAAGCUUGGGGUGGAAGCAACUGUCUGGAGCUGGCGGUGGAGGCCACAGACCAGCAUUUCAUCGCCCAGCCUGGGGUCCAGAAUUUUCUUUCUAAGCAAUGGUAUGGAGAGAUUUCCCGAGACACCAAGAACUGGAAGAUUAUCCUGUGUCUGUUUAUUAUACCCUUGGUGGGCUGUGGCUUUGUAUCAUUUAGGAAGAAACCUGUCGACAAGCACAAGAAGCUGCUUUGGUACUAUGUGGCGUUCUUCACCUCCCCCUUCGUGGUCUUCUCCUGGAACGUGGUCUUCUACAUUGCCUUCCUCCUGCUGUUUGCCUACGUGCUGCUCAUGGAUUUCCAUUCGGUGCCACACCCCCCCGAGCUGGUCCUGUACUCGCUGGUCUUUGUCCUCUUCUGUGAUGAAGUGAGACAGGUAGGGCUGCCAUGACAGCAGGAACCCCCUCGCUUCCUCGGUGAGAGGCAUCUUUCCAAAGCCAAGAGGAAUAGAAGUUGCUUCUGAAGUUCAAAAGUCAUUAUUUUCCCAAA